UUAAGUCUCAUAGUGCACCCUUCCUUUUUUUCCUAAAUAAAUGCGCGAUAGGUGUUGAGGGGAGGGCACCAUUUUGAACUUAAUCCUUUUGCCCUGCUCUGAAAACUAUAAAGAAUUGAUGUCAGUUGAUUGACUGACAUAUAUAUUCUCUCCUGAGUAUGUCUCUUGCGGAGGUGAAGCCAGGCAAGAGCAGGAUACCGAGACUUGCAAAUCAUGGUAACUAAAAUACAAUUCAGAUCAAUUAAAUCUCGGGAUAAAAUGAAGGAGUAUAUAGAUCACAAUCUAUCUGAAAUGAAGAUGUGUGAUCAUAC
rnacentral:lncRNA from 1 species